rnacentral:lncRNA from 11 species
AUCCCUUUUGAGCUGGCAGGGUUUCUAUUCUUCUUGCACCAUAAUCUUGGGCCGGAGCAAAAGGAGUCAGCAGCAAACACAGCUUGGUUUGCUGUAGUUUGCCAUCUGGCUCCUUUUCUCCAGUGUUCAGGGCAAAGAGGAGGAUUCUCAGGAUUCAGCCAUCCACAACUUGAUCUUUUAAAUUCCAAAAGGUGAGCCUUUAUGUUACUAUUUCAUAUAUGUGACACAUUUUACAACAC